rnacentral:lncRNA from 1 species
GCCUUUCUCCUGCCUCAGCCUCUGGCGUAGCUGGGACUACAGGCGCCCGCCACCACGCCGGCUAAUUUUUUGUAUUUUUAGUAGAGACGGGGUUUCACGGCGUUAGCCAGGAUGGUCUCGAUCUGCUGACCUCGUGAUCCGCCCGUCUCGGCCUCCCAAAGUGCUGAGAUUCCAGGCGUGAGCCACCGUGCCCCGGCCGGAGGCGAGAACUAUUUUACUUGGUUUAACUUACCUGAGCGCCAGAAUCUUGACUGUAAUAGGUUCGCAUUUUAAUGGCAAUCCUUGAAAACCUAAAAGCCUUAGAAACUAGAAGAAAUCAAUGUUUAAUGAUGGAACUUGAAACAUUAUGACAAAGGAGAAGGAGCUGAAAGGAAUUUUUAGACAUCACUGAGUGCAACCAAUUCAUCUUCUGCAUGAGCAAACAUAGAAGGAGAGAGAGAAAUGACAGGUGUCACACUACAGCCCCAGAUUUCCUAACACAAACUCCAGGAAAAGAAUCAUAUUGACUCACCUAGUAAUCUACCAAGCCCUGUCAGAGGCUAUGGACCUUCCUAUUCCACUUUUCAACGCCUGUCAAAGAUGACAAAGAUGACAAACAAGUGAAUUUUUAAAGUAAUCUCAAGACAGCAGAGAUUCUGCAACCACAGCUACACACCUGAUCUUCCAGAGCCCAGCUUCCUGCAAAUGCCUGAAUUCAGUUUGAUUUUAACAUCUUUGGUUUUCUUCCGAAGCCUUUCCUGAUAUAUUCUAUCUCACUAUGAUCACUUCCUUGCUCUUUUUCCCUUCAUUUUUUUGCUUGACUCUAGUGUGCAUUUGUUAUGAGGCCUUUUCACCACUCUUGAGUCAUUUCCUGUAACAUGUUUUGUCUCUCCCUAAGAGCCUAUGCGGUUUUCCACUUUGUUACUCCUCCACUGUACUUAGUAAAGGCCUUGACAUUAAAUUAGGCUUGUAUUCAAAAUUAUUUAUUAAAGGAAUAAAAGGCUUGAACAAA